rnacentral:rRNA from 1 species
AUUGAACGCUGGCGGCAGGCCUAACACAUGCAAGUCGAGCGGAUGAAGGGAGCUUGCUCCUGGAUUCAGCGGCGGACGGGUGAGUAAUGCCUAGGAAUCUGCCUGGUAGUGGGGGAUAACGUCCGGAAACGGGCGCUAAUACCGCAUACGUCCUGAGGGAGAAAGUGGGGGAUCUUCGGACCUCACGCUAUCAGAUGAGCCUAGGUCGGAUUAGCUAGUUGGUGGGGUAAAGGCCUACCAAGGCGACGAUCCGUAACUGGUCUGAGAGGAUGAUCAGUCAAACCGGAACUGAGGCAAGGGCCAGGCCUCUACGGGAGGCAGCAGUGGGGAAUAUUGGACAAUGGGCGAAAGCCUGAUCCAGCCAUGCCGCGUGUGUGAAGAAGGUCUUCGGAUUGUAAAGCACUUUAAGUUGGGAGGAAGGGCAGUAAGUUAAUACCUUGCUGUUUUGACGUUACCAACAGAAUAAGCACCGGCUAACUUCGUG